AUGGCGUCGCCGGGUGGCGGGUACGCGGACCGGCCAGCGCCGCCGCUGGACGGGAUGAUCACGGUGGACGGGGGCGGGGGCAGGACGCCGCCGCCGGCGGGGCUGCCGAGGCCGCCAGGGUUCCGGGGGCUGAUGCAGCAGCCGUCGCGGCUGGCGUCCGGGGUGCGGCAGUUCGCGUCGCGGGUGUCGAUGAAGGUGCCGGAGGUGGUGCCGGGCAUCCGGCCGGGCGGCGGGCGGAUGACGCGGAUGCAGUCCAGCGCGCAGAUGGGGCUCAAGGGGCUGCGCUUCCUCGACAAGACCUCCGGGAGCAAGGAGGGCUGGAAGGCCGUCGAGCGCCGCUUCGACGAGAUGAGCAAGGCCAGCGGCCGCCUCCCCAAGGAGAGCUUCGGCAAGUGCAUCGGCAUGGGGGACUCCAAGGAGUUCGCCGGCGAGCUGUUCGUGACGCUGUCGCGGCGGAGGAGCAUCGAGCCGGAGCAGGGCAUCACCAAGGAGCAGCUCAGGGAGUUCUGGACGGAGAUGACCGACCAGAACUUCGACUCGCGGCUCCGCAUUUUCUUCGACAUGUGCGACAAGAACGGCGAUGGGAUGCUCACGGAGGAUGAGGUCAAGGAGGUUAUUAUAUUGAGCGCGUCGGCCAACAAGCUGGCCAAGCUCAAGAGCCACGCCGCGACCUACUCGUCGCUCAUCAUGGAGGAGCUCGACCCCGACGACCGUGGCUACAUCGAGAUUUGGCAGCUGGAGACGCUGCUGCGCGGGAUGGUGAGCGCGCAGGCGCCGGAGGUGAAGCUGAAGCGGACGACGUCGAGCCUGGCGAGGACGAUGAUCCCGAUGCGGUACCGGAGCCCGCUGAAGCGGCACGUCACCAGGACCAUGGACUUCGUCCACGAGAACUGGAAGCGGAUAUGGCUGGUGACGCUCUGGCUCGCCGCCAACCUCGCCCUCUUCGUCUACAAGUUCGAGCAGUACAAGCACCGGUCCUCCUUCCAGGUCAUGGGCAACUGCGUCUGCGUCGCCAAGGGCGCCGCCGAGACGCUCAAGCUCAACAUGGCGCUCAUCCUGCUGCCCGUCUGCCGCAACACGCUCACCACCCUCCGCUCCACCGCGCUCAGCCACGUCAUCCCCUUCGACGACAACAUCAACUUCCACAAGGUGCUCGCCGGCGCCAUCGCCGUCGGCACGGUGGUGCACACGCUCGCCCACGUCACCUGCGACUUCCCCAGGCUCGUCUCCUGCCCGAGCGACAAGUUCAUGGCCCUGCUGGGCCCCAACUUCGGCUUCAGGCAGCCGACGUACCCGGACCUGCUGGCCAGCGCCCCGGGGGUCACCGGCAUCCUCAUGAUCAUCAUCAUGACCUUCUCCUUCACGCUGGCCAUGCACACCUUCAGGCGGAGCGUCGUCAAGCUGCCGUCGCCGCUGCACCACCUGGCCGGCUUCAACGCCUUCUGGUACGCGCACCACCUGCUGCUGCUCGUCUACGUCCUCCUCGUGGUGCAUUCCUACUUCAUAUUCCUCACCAGGGUCUGGUACAAGAAGACGACAUGGAUGUUCCUCAUAGUCCCUGUCCUCUUCUACGCCUGCGAGAGAAUUAUCAGAAAAGUUCGCGAGAACAACUACCACGUGAACAUUCUCAAGGCUGCGAUUUACCCAGGAAAUGUGCUCUCUCUUCACAUGAAGAAGCCACCGGGUUUCAAGUACAAGAGUGGGAUGUACCUGUUUGUGAAAUGCCCCGACGUUUCGCCUUUCGAAUGGCAUCCGUUCUCCAUUACUUCUGCACCUGGAGAUGAUUACCUGAGCGUGCAUAUCCGCACGCUAGGUGACUGGACAUCUGAACUCAGGAACUUGUUCGGGAAGUGUUUCGAGGCACAAGUUACUUCCAAGAAGGCCACCCUUUCGAGACUUGAAACUACAGUUGUGGCAGACUCUGCGACAGAAGACACCAGGUUUCCUAAGGUCUUCAUCGAUGGCCCUUAUGGUGCACCGGCGCAAAAUUACAAGAAAUACGACAUUCUUUUGCUUAUCGGGCUUGGAAUUGGCGCCACUCCUUUCAUCAGCAUAUUGAAAGAUCUCUUGAACAACAUAAAGUCCAAUGAUGAGGUGGAAAGUAUACACGGUUCUGAGAUAGGCAGCUUCAAGAACAGUGGGCCAGGGAGAGCUUACUUCUACUGGGUUACCAGAGAGCAAGGAUCCUUCGACUGGUUCAAAGGAGUCAUGAAUGAAGUCGCUGACAACGAUCACAGCGAUGUCAUAGAGAUGCACAAUUACCUCACCAGCGUGUAUGAAGAAGGCGACGCAAGGUCAGCGCUGAUUGCCAUGGUUCAGUCACUCCAGCAUGCCAAAAAUGGUGUUGACAUCGUCUCCGGAAGCAAGAUUCGGACACAUUUUGCAAGGCCUAACUGGAGAAAAGUGUUCUCUGAUUUGGCCAAUGCCCACAAGAACUCUCGUAUAGGUGUUUUCUAUUGUGGAUCUCCAACACUCACGAAACAACUCAAGGAUCUUUCAAAAGAAUUCAGCCAGACAACCACAACUAGGUUUCAUUUCCACAAGGAAAAUUUCUAA
rnacentral:rRNA from 1 species